rnacentral:rRNA from 1 species
CCCUUAGAUGUCCGGGGCCGCACGCGCGCUACAAUGGAUGAAUCAACGCGUCAUCCUGGCCCGAAAGGGUUGGGGAACCGCUGAACCUCAUCCGUGGUUGGGAUUGGGGUUUGUAAUUAUUCCCCAUGAACUAGGAAUUCCCAGUAAGCGCGAGUCAUAAGCUCGCGUUGAUUACGUCCCUGCCCUUUGUACACACCGCCCGUCGCUACUACCGAUUGGAUGGUUUAGUGAGAUCCUCGGAUUGGUCACGGCACGGUAGCAACACUGCGUCGGUGUGCCGAGAAGACGAUCAAACUUGAUCAUCUAGAGGAAGUAAAAGUCGUAACA